rnacentral:rRNA from 1 species
CCCAGGCCCUACGGGGUGCAGCAGGCGCGAAAACUUUACACUGCGGGAAACCGCGAUAAGGGGACCCCGAGUGCCAGCACCUAGUGCUGGCUGUCCAGCUGUCCAAAUAACAGUUGUUAGCAAGGGCCGGGCAAGACCGGUGCCAGCCGCCGCGGUAACACCGGCGGCCCGAGUGGUAGCCGUUAUUAUUGGGUUUAAAGGGUCCGUAGCCGGCCUAUUAAGUCUCUUGGGAAAUCUGGCGGCUUAACCGUCAGGCGUCCAAGAGAUACUGGUAGGCUUGGGACCGGCAGAGGUGGGAGGUACUCCAGGGCGUAGGGGUGAAAUGCUGUAAUCCUCGGGGGACCACCAGUGGCGAAGGCGUCCGACUAGAGCGGGCCCGACGGUGAGGGACNAUAGCCAGGGGGAGCGCAACGGGAUUAGAUACCCCGGUAGUCCUGGCCGUAAACG